rnacentral:rRNA from 1 species
CCCUUAGACGUUCUGGGCCGCACGCGCGCUACACUGACCAGUGCAACAAGCAUCCGUCCUUGGCCGACAGGCCCGGGCAAUCUUUGAACGCUGGUCGAGAUGGGGAUAGACUUUUGCAAUUUUUGGUCUUCAACGAGGAAUUCCUAGUAAACGCAAGUCAUCAACUUGCAUUGAUUACGUCCCUGCCCUUUGUACACACCGCCCGUCGCACCUACCGAUUGAAUGGUCCGGUGAAGCCUCCGGAUUGGCGCGCACCUCGGUGCCGCCGAGAAGUUGGCUAAACCUUACCAUUUAGAGGAAGGUGAAGUCGUAACA